rnacentral:rRNA from 1 species
AUUGAACGCUGGCGGCAGGCUUAACACAUGCAAGUCGAACGGUAACAUAAAGAAGCUUGCUUCUUUGAUGACGAGUGGCGGACGGGUGAGUAAUGCUUGGGAAUCUAGCUUAUGGAGGGGGAUAACUAUGGGAAACUGUAGCUAAUACCGCGUAGAAUCGAGAGAUGAAAGUGUGGGACCUUCGGGCCACAUGCCAUAGGAUGAGCCCAAGUGGGAUUAGGUAGUUGGUGAGGUAAAGGCUCACCAAGCCGACGAUCCCUAGCUGGUCUGAGAGGAUGACCAGCCACACUGGGACUGAGACACGGCCCACACUCCUACGGGAGGCAGCAGUGGGUAAUAUUGCGCAAUGGGGGCAACCCUGANUCANCCCUGCCNCGNGAAUGAA